rfam:Strongyloides stercoralis strain PV0001 genome assembly, scaffold: SSTP_contig0000120
CCAACCAUAGCUCAGUUGGUAGAGCGGAGGACUGUAGAUUUAACUUUCUGAUAUCCUUAGGUCACUGGUUCAAAUCCGGUUGGUUGGA